rnacentral:lncRNA from 1 species
UACAUUUUUACUUUACAGCGCAUUAGUUGCCAUAAACAUGUUUUAUGCACUUUAGCUUUUUUCAAUAGUCAUUGGAAACAGUUUUGGUUUUUCAAUAAACCCUGCUACUACUGAAGAGCUUGUUCAGGAAGAAAGGAAUGUCAAUCUCUCCUGCAAAUAUGAUGGCAAUGUCUACAAUCUCCAGUGGUACCGCCAAUAUCCCAGGUCCAAACCAGAAUUCCUCCUGUACAUCACACCAGAGGGGUCUAUAUUUAAAGCUACUCCCCCACCUCCUCGUCUGACAGUUUCCAUUGACAAAGUGGAAAAACGUGUGGAUCUGAAGAUCUCCUAUGCUGUAGUGACAGACUCUGCUCUGUACUACUGUGCCCUGACGCCCACAGUGACAGGAAACCCAGAAAUACUGUACAAAAACAUGUCAAGUGCCAUGGAAAGAAACCAAUGAGAAGGGGAGGAGCUGCAUCUAGGCAAGAGACGAG